UCAACAGUGAGCCGGGAUCUGAGGACGAGGCUGUAGGAGAAUUCGGGGGUUGAACAGCAAGGCCAGGACCCUUCAGGACAUAAAAUGCAGACGAAGGAGCAGACAGCCAUGCUGGAUGGGCUGUGAAUGGUACCCUGAGGAAUCUGACCUCAAUCUGCAGACCACAGGAGUAGCUGGGACCAUGAACAAACAGCAUUUUCAAAAAUAAGGGACCAGAGGACAGCUUCAGGGCCAGCACCCGCCUCUUGCACACGAGUCCCAAGGAGCAAGCUCCGGUGUCUGAAGAGCCACUUCGCUGGCCCUGGAAAUGCAGCUUUUAUCAUUCUGAACAAUUCGGUGUCAGAGGGAAAGCCAGGCUCCCCGCCAAGCUCUAACAGUGCCGUGUGAACACAGACUAUUUACCAGAAAGAUUUCCUUCCUUCUGACAGACUGAAUUCACAACGCCCCCACCUUAUCAGAAAGCUCCCAGGGCUAAAGAUGGAUGGUUUGGUGUUUAGGAGUGCUGGCUGCCCUUCCCGGAGACCCAAGUUCAGCUCCCGGCACUCACACCAGUGGCUCACAACUGUUUGCAACUCCAGUCCAGGAGAUCCGACGCUCUCUUCUGCUUACAACUUCUGUACAAAUAUGUGUCUAUACACAGACACACACAAAACAUACAUAAUAAAGUAGAAAUAAUAUAAAAGAUAAUGAAAAAAUUAAAUAUUGAAAAACGAGUAGGGUCUAGAGAAUCGGCCUAGCACUUAAGCACUCCAGCUGUUUUUCCAGCGACCCAGAUUUGAGUCUCAGCAUCCACAUGGCGGCUCACAACCAGCUGUAACUCCACUCCCAGGGCCAUCUGAUGCCCCCUUCUGGCCUCCUCAGGCACUGCAUGCUGUGACACAAACGUACAGGCAAAACAUUCAUGCACAUAAACUAAAAAGAAAUCCCCAA